GUUCCUGUUUUGUGAAAUAAAGUCUCAUUAAUCUGUUCUUAUCAGUUUAAUAUCUGAUACGUCCCCUAUCAGGGGACUAUAUAUUAAACGGAUUUUUGGCACAGGGAGUCGGAGAAGGAGCUUGCUCCGUCCGCUUCAAGCAUCGACCCGUUAUUGCAGUGCGUUCGGGAACGGUGCGCCUCUC